rnacentral:rRNA from 1 species
GUAGCCGGCCUGAGAGGGCGACCGGCCACACUGGGACUGAGACACGGCCCAGACUCCUACGGGAGGCAGCAGUGGGGAAUAUUGCACAAUGGGCGAAAGCCUGAUGCAGCGACGCCGCGUGAGGGAUGACGGCCUUCGGGUUGUAAACCUCUUUCAGCAGGGAAGAAGCGAAAGUGACGGUACCUGCAGAAGAAGCGCCGGCUAACUACGUGCCAGCAGCCGCGGUAAUACGUAGGGCGCAAGCGUUGUCCGGAAUUAUUGGGCGUAAAGAGCUCGUAGGCGGUCUGUCACGUCGGGUGUGAAAGCCCGGGGCUUAACCCCGGGUCUGCAUUCGAUACGGGCAGACUAGAGUGUGGUAGGGGAGAUCGGAAUUCCUGGUGUACCGGUGAAAUGCGCAGAUAUCAGGAGGAACACCGGUGGCGAAGGCGGAUCUCUGGGCCAUUACUGACGCUGAGGAGCGAAAGCGUGCGGAGCGAACAGGAGUAGAUACCCUGGUAGUCCACGCCGUACACGUUGGGAACUAGGUGUUGGCGACAUUCCACGUCGUCGGUGCCGCAGCUAACGCAUUAAGUUCCCCGCC